AUUUACAAGGCUCUUAUGAAAUACGGUAAGGAAAAAGGCAAGUUACUCACUGGGGUGUGAUGUAGCUCCUGCUGAAAAGAUACCAAUUGACUGCUCACUGAUUGUAAACUGAGCCAACAACUGUGUGCCGGAUCCAAACCCUAAUUUAGCAUGCUUGGCGGAAUUUAAGAACGGGACAUAGCAUGAUACUGAUUUGUCGAGCAUGGAACAAUGAGCUUGUGUGCAACGAAUCCGAUCGAAGUGUUAGCUGAGCUUUCUUACCGUGAUUCGAUGAAUUCAAACCGAAUUCUUAGCAAGGGCGGUUUUUGCUUCUGAGUGUUCGAUUUUGUAGACAGCACAAUAGGAUUGCCCUCACACUGUCGCCAUGGCCAGGGCGAUGGCAGCCAGGCUGCCGCUGCUGCGACGAUGGACUUCGUCGUCGUCGUCGUCAUUGCUACUUCAAUUACGGGUUACUGAACAGGCGUUAGUUUCGUUGAGCUCGAGCAACUCUAGCAGUGCUGCUGAAUUUGAUAGUGGGUCGGGGUUUUCGAUCAGCAGCCUGCAGCCGUGGUACGGCUCGCCCAGCGCACUUGGAGAGUCAGAGGCAGCGAGCAUUUUUCUCAAGUUCAUGCGUAACGGCAGAGUGAGUGGAAGUGUGUGGAACUCGUCGUCAUCUGGAGGGACCAAGCGAUCCAUUCACACUGAUAUUGCAGCUCCACGAGCAGGAAGACAAACUCCUAGAGAACUGAAAUCGGAACAGGAUCGCCAUCUAGAAGACGAUGACCUCACAGAUGGAGACCCGACAGUGCGACCAUUUGAAGCUCCUGUUAUAUUGGAAGCUCCCAUCAAGCUUUUGUAUGAAUCUCUUCAGAAGAAAGGAUUCAUCGAUGAGAAAAUGAGACCUUUGCCAAUUGAUCAGGUCGCUAGCCAGGAGGAUCACCGUAUUGUCGCGUGGUAUCGGAGUAUUGCAAUCGGACUUCUCAAGUACUACUCAUUUUGCGAUAACCUGAGCAAAGUGAGAUCCAUUGCGAACUAUCUCCUACGAUGGUCGGCCAUCUAUACACUUGCGAAGAAACAUAAGUCAAGCUCAAGCCAGAUCAUUGCCAAGCAUACAAAAAGCUUGGUCAUCUCCAAGGAGGGUAAAACCCUAGCUGCUUUCUUAACCCCUUCGGAGAUCAGCCAAUUCAAGAGGAGGUUUAUUGUGGAUUUGGACCCUACCCAUCCCGAGGAACUCAUCGAUAUGCUGUUCGCGCGACUAGUUCGCAAAAAACUACUUGUGGAGCGGUGCGCAGUGAAGGGUUGUCAGGAGCGUCAUGUUGAGAUGCACCAUAUCCGACAAAUUGAGAAGGCAGGUGGAAAGCACAGAGUUCGCUCAGCUAGAGAGGCGCAGAUUCUGGAAGGCAUCAAAGCUGUGCAAGCUGCUUUGAAUAAAAAACACAUUCCUUUGUGCGUCCGGCAUCACGAUGAUUUGCACAUGGGGAGGGUCUUUCUUGACGACUUGGAUAUGAAUGUUGUCAUUUAACUGCCAGUGAGUUGGUGAUCCUUCACGCAGGCGCAUGAAAGAAGAAGGUAAUGGGUGAGAACCUGCAGUGUUGGAUAUGAAGAGCCUUGUGGUUUGGUUCGGCGUUGGCAACAUUGUGGGAGGCUUCAUUUGUCCAUAUCAAUCAUGGAAGUAGAAGCAACGUGGAUUUGAACGGAUUUCCUCUGCCCAGUUGAGAUGUUUUGACGACGGCUUCUACGUUUUUUUCCGGGUUGUAAAUUCCUUCAAAUUUCUACUUGCGACAUGGGCCACGCAAGAACCGCCAAGGAGGCGAACAGCACACUACAGCUUUGCCAGCUUCUGGCGAGGUUCGGUUAACUGCAGUUCGUGUGAUUAGUGCAGUGUUAUAUCAACGCACCAACACCAUUUUUGCCCUGUGCAGCCAAUCUGAACAUCCCUGCAGUUGAAUUCGAAGCAGACGUCUAAAUUGAAAAAUAAAAAUAAAAUAAAAUAAAAUAGCAUGGUUGUGCAGCGCGUUGUCAGUAGGCAAUGUUUUCUGGCCAGAUACAGAUCUUUUUAGCGUUAUGAACUAGUGGAUGAAUAGUACAAAUGAACUUGUAGAUUUGAAGUGAAAUUUGCACAUUCUCUUGGAUACUCUGGAGGGUGAUUGGAGAAUAUGCUCGUGUGAAGCUCACACGGUUUGUAGGUUCAUGGUUAGCAUUGUAGACAGCAAAAAUCUAGAUGAUCAUUAUCCUCUUUCAAGCUCACAUCUGGUCACCACCGUAGCAGCGGGUUUGGCGCAAUUCGACAUGAUACUCCAGCCAGGAAAUGGGAAUUUUUGACGAAGAUUUUGGUGAGUAAUGAUGAAUGAACGAAAAUUGUUGCAUGCAUGUUGCUUAGCAGAGGUUGAACCUUCGUCGAAGAAAUCUGUUCGUGGCUCUACGCGACCAUGGGCAGGAGUGAACAUACCUUGACUCUCAGAGGCUCCUAUGGCAUAGAAAUAGAUUUGAAUUGGAAGGACAGCAGUACUAUGAGGUUCAUUGCAGAAAGGUAUGAAGAAAGAGGACUUGUGGAUUUUACGUUACAGGGGAGGUAUGACAUAAGCUGUAGGGUCGGGAAGAUUGCCACUCCAGAUCUUAGAGAGGAACAAGGCACGCAUGACCAUGCAACUGAAGAUCUAGAGCAAAAACAAAAUCUUCAAAGUGUGUCCUUGGAUUGACAACUAGAAAAAAAAAAAAAAAAAAAAAAAAAAAAAAAAAA